AUGAGACCAGCAGGACAGCAGAUCCCUGGGAGGUUAAAUAUGUAUUUUGUUGUUGAGUUCCCAGAGGAAAACAACUUCACAGCUGUUGUCCCCCAGACCUGGUGCACAGGCAAAACCUGCUACUGGCCUCCCUACCCAAACACAGAUAGAAUUAGAAAGGCAUCAAUAAAUCAGGAGACACCUGACCUGUGUACCUGGACUAACCAUCCCAUCAUCAUAAAGAAAAGAAAAGGUGAAUACAGCUAUUCUUCUUCAUAAAAUCACAUUAUAAAAACAUAAUAUUCUUACAAUGUACAUGUUAUUUAUUGUUUUUAGAUAACUAUACAAAAGCCCAUGCCUUUUACAUUCGGGCAAAAAAAGGUGAAAGCCUGGACACUGAGCCGGAGGAUGGGGAUAAGAAGCGACAGAGAAAGUAGGCAUUCAUUGAAUACAAAUAUCUUCCUGAUGCUGCUCCUUUUACCCUUUUAUCAAAGUACUUUUACUGAUUACAUAUGCCCUUCAUAUUUAUUAUAUUCAAAUUAUUCGUUUUAUUCAAACUAUUCGUUUUAUCCUACACACAUAUAUAUGUG
rnacentral:lncRNA from 1 species